rnacentral:rRNA from 1 species
GACGAACGCUGGCGGCGUGCCUAAUACAUGCAAGUCGAACGAGAGCGACCGGUGCUUGCACUGGUCAAUCUAGUGGCGAACGGGUGAGUAACACGUGGGUAACCUGCCCAUCAGAGGGGGAUAACAUUCGGAAACGGAUGCUAAAACCGCAUAGGUCUUCGAACCGCAUGGUUUGAAGAGGAAAAGAGGCGCAAGCUUCUGCUGAUGGAUGGACCCGCGGUGCAUUAGCUAGUUGGUGAGGUAACGGCUCACCAAGGCCGUGAUGCAUAGCCGACCUGAGAGGGUGAUCGGCCACAUUGGGACUGAGACACGGCCCAAACGCCUACGGGAGGCAGCAGUAGGGAAUCUUCCGCAAUGGACGCAAGUCUGACGGAGCAACGCCGCGUGAGUGAAGAAGGGUUUCGGAUCGUAAAACUCUGUUGUUAGAGAAGAAUAAGUGCUAGAGUAACUGUUAGCGCCUUGACGGUAUCUAACCAGAAAGCCACGGCUAACUACGU